rnacentral:rRNA from 1 species
UACGUAGGGUGCGAGCGUUGUCCGGAAUUACUGGGCGUAAAGAGCUCGUAGGUGGUUUGUCGCGUUGUUCGUGAAAACUCACAACUCAAUUGUGGGCGUGCGGGCGAUACGGGCAGACUGGAGUACUGCAGGGGAGACUGGAAUUCCUGGUGUAGCGGUGGAAUGCGCAGAUAUCAGGAGGGACACCGGUGGCGAAGGCGGGGUCUCUGGGCAGUAACUGACGCUGAGGAGCGAAAGCGUGGGGAGCGAACAGG